rnacentral:rRNA from 1 species
GACGAACGCUGGCGGCGUGCCUAAUACAUGCAAGUCGAACGCACAGUUUAUACCGUAGCUUGCUACACCAUAGACUGUGAGUUGCGAACGGGUGAGUAACGCGUAGGUAACCUGCCUGGUAGCGGGGGAUAACUAUUGGAAACGAUAGCUAAUACCGCAUAAUAUUGAUUAUUGCAUGAUAAUUAAUUGAAAGGUGCAAUUGCACCACUACCAGAUGGACCUGCGUUGUAUUAGCUAGUAGGUGAGGUAACGGCUCACCUAGGCGACGAUACAUAGCCGACCUGAGAGGGUGAUCGGCCACACUGGGACUGAGACACGGCCCAGACUCCUACGGGAGGCAGCAGUAGGGAAUCUUCGGCAAUGGACGAAAGUCUGACCGAGCAACGCCGCGUGAGUGAAGAAGGGUUUCGGAUCGUAAAGCUCUGUUGUAAGAGAAGAACGGGUGUGAGAGUGGAAAGUUCACACUGUGACGGUAUCUUACCAGAAAGAGACGGCUAACUACGUG